rnacentral:rRNA from 1 species
UCGAGAAUCUUCGGCAAUGGGCGAAAGCCUGACCGAGCGACGCCGCGUGCGGGAUGAAGGCCUUCGGGUUGUAAACCGCUGUCAGAGGGGAUGAAAUUCUCCGGAGCUAUCUCGGGAGAUUGACAGAGCCUCAGAGGAAGCACGGGCUAAGUUCGUGCCAGCAGCCGCGGUAAUACGAACUGUGCGAACGUUAUUCGGAAUCACUGGGCUUACAGGGUGUGUAGGCGGCCGGACAAGUAGGGUGUGAAAU